rnacentral:rRNA from 1 species
UACAGAGGGUGCGAGCGUUGUCCGGAAUCACUGGGCGUAAAGGGCGCGUAGGUGGCGCGGCAAGUCAACGGUGAAAGCUCGACGCUCAACGUCGAGUCGGCCGUCGAUACUGCUGGGCUUGAGCACUGUAGAGGCAGAUGGAAUUCCGGGUGUAGCGGUGGAAUGCGUAGAGAUCCGGAAGAACACCGGUGGCGAAGGCGGUCUGCUGGGCAGUAGCUGACACUGAGGCGCGACAGCGUGGGGAGCAAACAGG